GCCCUCUGAGGGGGGAACCGUGGCGGCGAGGCAAAUUUUGGGGUGGAAAAGGGAUAUUUGGGGAAAUGCUGAGGGGAAAGGGCGGCUGGGCGCAGGCAGCGACAUGGCCUCGCUGCGCUGCUCUCUCCUCACCCCCCUCUGAGUCCCAAACAUCCCCCUCAGGGUUGCUGUGGUGGCAUAAAGGUGUUUUUCCCCCUUUCUGUUCUUUAUUAUAAAAAAUAAAGGCUCUUCAUGUGCUGGUGUCUUGUUUUUAAAUGAAGGGGAGAGCGCUUCUCGUAGUCGUGGGCCGGGAGGAAGGAGGCUGGGAGGUUUUUUAUAGCGCUGCCUACUUCACGGGGGUUUUCUCUCAGCUGAUGCCUUUAUUUAGUUCCUCGCUCUUACUACGUGUACUAUACUUACACCAGGAAUAUGCAAAGGAAAGGUCCCAAGACGUAACGAGAAGCUUCAGGCAGACCUUGAGUGCUCUACCCAGUUGUUACACCUACUGAACCAGAUUAUCUUCCCCAUAUUCAGCCUUUUGAGACUGAGGUCUGGAAGAUCACCAAGCCGAUUCAAAAGCACAAAACUGGUUGUGAAUUUUGAGGAGGAAUCUAGUCUGGUUGAUGCACGGUAGCUUUUUGGACUUUUGAAUGUCCGUUUCUUAUAGUAAGGAAGUUGUUAGGGCUCUGAUCUAUCUUUUCUUAUCAUGGUUAACCAUAUUAAGAUUAAAAACUCUUAACAGGAAAAUAACUCAAAGUUUGAAAUUACAGUUCAGAAACUGAAGAAAGAAAUAUCCCCCUGACACAGCAGGAGCACAAAAUGGGAACAAACAAUAUGUACCAUAUUCAGUUACAAUUGGUUUUAAAUAAUUUAAAAUAUUGAUGUUUGUUUCUGUUCUCAUCUAAUAUGCAUGCCGGACAUGACAAGGUUUGUAAUUGCAAUAGGAAAAAGAAAGCCAGACACAAAACUAGCUGUAUAACUAGGAGGAUAAAUUAAUGAAAGGUUUUAUGGGGUGGGUAAUAACUACAUGGAUUGUUAUUCUAUUUUUUUCUAGGUAAGAGAGAGAAAGAUAAGCUCAAAUGUAUAGCUAGCCCUUAAUUUGAAUCAUUGGGAAAUUUUUAUUUGUUUGAUGUGUUUCGGUAGUAUUCUCCAUUUUAAUAAACAUUUAUUUCUGACUUAUUCUGUGGUUUGGAUCUCUGCUUUUGAACUCUGGCAAACCUUUCAGUUAUUGCACUGAAAGAAGGAUAGCAUUUAAGAGACAGCCACAAACCAUUAUAAUACAUGCUUUUCUUUCUAAAACUGUUUUUUAAAGGUAAAUCCAUUUUCUACAAACACGACUUUCACUGUCUCAGCUGCUACGUUAAUACAUAUUAAAAGCAGUACUUUUCCUCUGUAACGCUGAGCUAUGCUUUGUAGUGUAGAUUGCCACACUGGAUAUAAUGUGACAGCCUGAAGUUAUUUGCAUCUAAAUGUGUUUUCUCUAACUAGAUAGUCAAACCUACUUGUGUCCAGGUGUUAUAUUUUCUUUGUCUAAUCUGUAAGACACAUGGAGGGAAUAUCUCAUUUUUAACAAGUAGAGAAACUAACACGGAGCUCACAAAGUCCUUAUUUUCAGUAUCACUAAAAAUUUACUUCACAUGCCAGUGGAGUAAUUUCCCGUGGCUCCUCCUGGUUGCACAUGGCAAAGGAUCCUCUUUCCACACUGUUUUGUGUCACCCUAAACCUCAUGGCCUAAGUGAAAACUUAGCGGAUCAGUUAAUCGAGUCAUGUCAGUUUACACCACUAGAGGGAUAUGCCCUGUAAAUUUAGCAUGUGGAUCCAGUAGUGUUCUGCUUGGGUCUGAGAAGGGGCUGCUGUUCCAAAAUUGCACAGGUUCAGCUGUUUCUCUUCGUGGUCCAUGAAAUUCAGAAAAUGACACCUGAAUGUUAAAGAACUUUUUUCUCAAUCCCUUCACUAUGCAGACACUUUAUCAUGGCUUGUUCUGCUGGUUGUUUAAUUUCUGUAUAAAAUGAGUCCUAACAAACAGAUUGAUUAGAACUCAUUAGAGCUGCAUAUGCUGGAAGAGACUGUACAUAUUCCUUCUCAUCAGUAAUUGCAUGCAAAGGAGGAGAUAAAACUGCCGCAAAAUCUUGAAGAUGUUUUCACUACUUGGUUCUAACAAUGUUAAAAUAAAGGUAUCAGUCGCUGGUUCAGAAAUAAAACUGAAUUUUGUGCUGCAAAUUGCGUGGUCAUUUUUUUAUUAUUAUUAUUUUUAUUUUUAUUUUUUUGUUAAUUAUGAGCCUGUGCAUCUUCUAGUAUUGUAUUUUAAUGGGUCAUAGCAUAUACAACAUCUUAGGCAUGGAAUCCCGAGACAGGCUUCUCAGCUCAAAAAGUUCACAUCCCAUGAACACGUCAGCUUCCAAAUACUUCAGCUCAAA
ensembl:lncRNA